rnacentral:rRNA from 1 species
UACGGAGGGGGCGAGCGUUAUUCGGAAUUAUUGGGCGUAAAGGGCGCGUAGGCGGUGCGGUAAGUCUGUAGUGAAAUCUCUGGGCUCAACUCAGAGUCUGCUGCAGAAACUGCCGUGCUUGAGUGUGGGAGAGGUGAGUGGAAUCCCCGGUGUAGCGGUGAAAUGCGUAGAUAUCGGGAGGAACACCUGUGGCGAAAGCGGCUCACUGGACCACAACUGACGCUGAGGCGCGAAAGCUAGGGGAGCAAACAGG